CCCGGAAUAACGCAGAACGCCAGUCUACAACCUUGCCAAGGUUGGGGUCGAGCGUUCGAAUCGCUUCACCCGCUCCA
rnacentral:tRNA from 1 species